GGAGAUCAGGGCCAGCGAAUCUGUGGAAAGAUGAUGGACAUCGAUGUGUGCUCCUCGUGGGUCCAAGAGCAGCGACGAGGAGCUCAUGGUGCAAGAGCUUUUCUACACGCAGCACGGCUCUCCUAUUGCGGUUUGUGACCCAGCCGUUGGCGCUGCUGCUGCAGGGAGGUCGUCCUGCAUGAGGUCAAGCUACAUGCCCCCAAGCCCAACCGCCGCGACCUCGACACCUCCGUUCAGAAUACGUCGAUACUCUCAUAAAAGGGAGGAGAGACCAGGCCACCAAAGCCUCAACGGUAUGAUGAUGGUGUUCUCCCCGUGGCUCCGAGGAGCUCACGCUUCUUCCCUGCCACACCAAGGGAUUGAAUAUGUUUUGCUGGAAGAAAGUGAGGGGACAAUGUAGUUUUCUGUGGUCAUCGAUGAUCACUACCAAUACUCCAUGACCUACAUAUAGUACACGUGACACAGUUUGCCUCUAAUGCUUCUGUCUGGCGUAACACAAACUUUCUGGCUGUGGUGGUGGUGCUGCUGCUGCUGCCGCCGCAAGGAGGCCGUCCUGCACGAGGUCAAGCUGCUUGGCCCCAAUGGCCAAUUGCGGCGAGCUCGACGCCUCCGUUUAGAACAUGUCGACAUCGGCCCCCAAAGAUAUCUGACACCAAGAGGGUGAAUAGUCUUGUGAGUGACAGCCAGAUAUGGACGCACAAUAUGCCUGUGGCUUUGGCUGAGUUUUGCGUGUGAGCCACAUGUAGGUGCACAAUAUGCCCACGGCUUCGACUGCUUACCUUUGCCCUCGCCGCCGUCGUCGUGUCAUGCUGCUCGGCCGUGGACGAACAUGACUACUCGUGUGAUGGCAGCGAGUUCACCGUGCCACAACCACAGGGGUGGUGAUGUCUCAUCCUCGGCUGCAAUUGCCCUCUGGGACUGAAUUUGUUUUGAGGGAAGAAAGUCAGGGGAAAAUGUAAUUUGAUGUGGUCAUCAAUGGUCAUUACCAACUCUCAAUCAACAGAACAUGUUACACGCGGCAUGGCUUGCCUCUAGCUCCUUCGGUCUGGUGUGGCCAACCCAUUCCUGCUCUGGUGGUCCUGCUGCAGAGAGGUCUAGCUGCUUGGCCCAAAGCCCAACCACAGCUAUCUCGCCGCCACCAUUCAGAACACGUUGACAUUGGCACCAGAAGAUAUCUGACACCAAGAGGGUGAAAAGUCUUGUGAGUGACAGCCAGAUAUAGAUGUACACAAUGCCCUCGGCCUUGACUGCUUACCUCCGCCCUUGCUCCCGUACUCCCAUCCCGCUGCUCAGCCGUGGACGGACAUGACUACUGGUGUGAUGGUGGUGGUUCACCGUGCCACAACCAGGGGGCGGUGAUGUCUCGACCAUGGAUCCAAUUUCCC